AGCAGUCGCCGCGGGAAUACGGAGGGAGUUAGCGUUGUUCGGAAUUACUGGGCGUAAAGCGCACGUAGGCGGCUUUGUAAGUCAGAGGUGAAAGCCUGGAGCUCAACUCCAGAACUGCCUUUGAUACUGAAGAUCUUGAGUUCGGGAGAGGUGAGUGGAACUGCGAGUGUAGAGGUGAAAUUCGUAGAUAUUCGCAAGAACACCAGUGGCGAAGGCGGCUCACUGGCCCGAUACUGACGCUGAGGCACGAAAGCGUGGGGAGCAAACAGGAUUAGAUACCCGCGUAGUCCCUGUCUCUUAUAC
rnacentral:rRNA from 1 species